GCCCCAUUAGCUCAGUGGAAUUAGAGCGGAUGACUACGAAUCAUCAGGUCGGGAGUUCGAUUCUCUCAUGGGGUA
rnacentral:tRNA from 1 species